rnacentral:rRNA from 1 species
GUCCACGCCGUAAACGAUGAACACUAGAUGUUGCGGGUAUUGACCCCUGCAGUGUCGACGCUAACGCAUUAAGUGUUCCGCCUGGGGAGUACGGCCGCAAGGCUAAAACUCAAAGGAAUUGACGGGGGCCCGCACAAGCGGUGGAGUAUGUGGUUUAAUUCGACGCAACGCGCAGAACCUUACCCGGUCUUGACAUCGAAGGAAUCUCCUAGAAAUAGGGGAGUACCCAGCAAUGGGACCUGAAGACAGGUGCUGCAUGGCUGUCGU